CUUUAAACCCUCCUCCUCCUUUUUUAAUUAUUUUCUUUUUAAAUAAAGUUGUUUUGAAUUCUGAACUUCCCUCAGAAAAUGCAGCUCAUUUAAUUUCCUGGAACGACUCAAAGACACCGAGCGCCACGUGUAGCAUCGCUGAGACGUCUCAGGUGCUGUUUGCAGAAGAGGCUAGUGUAUUGUCCCUGGGUCAGCGGAGGAGGCAAGACAAGAGCCUCGGGGUUGAGGCCUCCGCCGGCACCAACGAGGAAGAGAAAGGGCUCGGCUAGCGGAGAGAGGACGGGACACACUGUGAGAAGUUUUGCGCUGAAGAGGAAGACAGAAAUCAAACGUGGUCGACGCUGGACGAGCAAAACCCGGUGAAUUUCAUGUAGAUUUUCAGUGAGCAACCAACCGACACACUUUCCCCUGUGGCCCACAAACCCACACACACACACACACACACACACACACACACACACAGGUCCCUCUGAAGGAGCAGGCGGAGCCGGCAGUUGCACAUCUGCAUUUCAAACACAGACUCUCUGGGAUUCAUUAUUAAUUAGCCUGCUGAGCCCUGGAGGACUGGUGAUGCUGCCGUCACACACACAGACACACACGCUAACACACACAGACGCAGACACACGCAUACACACACACACACGCACACACCUCAUGACCCCAUUGCCCCCUCUGCGCUACAGUUAGAGAGUCCUCACCAGAAUACUGAGGCGUACUGAGCGCCCUCUCCUUCCAAUCACGUCCCUUCCCCUGAUUUCCCCGGCUUAAUGUUUGGUAAAGGAUGAUGAAUUACAGGAGUAGAUGGUUUUAUUAAGCUGAGCGCGGCGCAACUGUGUUUAAAACACUGUAUUCAAUUGAGUUGUUUAGCACGGAGCUAAAUGACACAUGUGAGGUGGUGGAGAGGAGCCGGAGGAGCUGUACUGGGUCUUAUAUCACAUCAAUAAACAUUACAAAACGCC